rnacentral:rRNA from 1 species
UACAGAGGUGGCAAGCGUUGUUCGGAAUUACUGGGCGUAAAGGGCGCGUAGGCGGCCAUCUAAGUCAGACGUGAAAUCCCCCGGCUUAACCUGGGAACUGCGUCUGAUACUGGACGGCUUGAGUAUGGGAGAGGGAUGUAGAAUUCCAGGUGUAGCGGUGAAAUGCGUAGAUAUCUGGAGGAACACCAAUAGCGAAGGCAGCUCGCUGGGACGGUACUGACGCUAAGGCGCGAAAGCGUGGGGAGCGAACAGG